rnacentral:rRNA from 1 species
UACGUAGGGUGCAAGCGUUAAUCGGAAUUACUGGGCGUAAAGCGUGCGCAGGCGGUUAUAUAAGACAGAUGUGAAAUCCCCGGGCUCAACCUGGGAACUGCAUUUGUGACUGCAAGGCUAGAGUACGGCAGAGGGGGAUGGAAUUCCGCGUGUAGCAGUGAAAUGCGUAGAUAUGCGGAGGAACACCAAUGGCGAAGGCGAUCCCCUGGGCCUGUACUGACGCUCAUGCACGAAAGCGUGGGGAGCAAACAGG